ensembl:processed_transcript predicted gene, 20319
AGUAAGCUUCAAAACACUGGAUCUGGGCAGAUAUCGACCCUCUAAGAGUUGGGGAAGAGCUACAAGGUCACUGAGGUAAUGCAAAAGUUCCUGCCCUCAGCAAUGACUGGGAAUGGAGAAUGGCUAGAAGAUGGAGUGUCUUGAAAGGUUUAUGCCCUUAGAGGACAAUACAAGGUUCCUAUUAAUGAAACACUGAUGAUGAUGAUGAUGAUGAUGAUGAUGAUGAUGAUGAUGAUGACUAUGAUGAUGAUGACGAUGACAAUGACGAUAAUGGGAUGAGUAGGAGAGACCCUGCUUGUCAUUGCUAGACCACCUGGGACUCUUCUUCACUGGCAUGGCCACCUGCAGCUGCUUCCAGAACCUGCCCUGAGGAUACUUGGAUUUCUCCCCUUUCCAUUUAAUGACCGUGAGCACCGUCUUAGCCCGCUUCAGCUCUUUCACCUUCAUGUCCUUCACAGCUUUGUACUGCACUAAAAUGACGUUGAUGUUGCCCCGGGAGGCCAUAUUUUCUAGGCCAGCCUUGAGCUCCAGGAGGGCUUGUGUUCCCUGGAGCACGUAGUUGGGACUUAGGACAACCAGGAGU